AGCUCCAAUAGCGUAUAUUGAAUGUUGUUGCGCUUAAAAAGAACGUAGUUGGACUUCUGCCGAGGACGACUGGUCCGCCCUCUGGGUGAGUAUCUAGCUCGGCCUGGGCAUCUUCUUGGAGAACGUAGCUGCACUUGACUGUGUGGUGCGGUAUCCAGGGCUUUUUACUUUGAGGAAAUUAGAGUGUUUCAAGCAGGCACACGCCUUGAAUACAUUAGCACGGAAUAAUAAGAUAGGACCUCGGUUCUAUUUUGUUGGUUUCUAGAGCUGAGGUGAUGAUUAAUAGGGAUAAUUGGGGGCAUUCGUAUUUAACUGUCAGAAGUGAAAUUCUUGGAUUUGUUAAAGACGGACUACCGCGAAAGCAUUUGCCAGGGAUGUUUUCA
rnacentral:rRNA from 1 species